rnacentral:rRNA from 1 species
GGUUAAGCGACUAAGCGUACACGGUGGAUGCCCUGGCAGUCAGAGGCGAUGAAGGACGUGCUAAUCUGCGAAAAGCGCCGGCGAGGUGAUAUGAACCCUUGACCCGGCGAUGUCCGAAUGGGGAAACCCAGUGCAAUUCGUUGCACUAUCGUUAACUGAAUACAUAGGUUAACGAGGCGAACCGGGGGAACUGAAACAUCUAAGUACCCCGAGGAAAAGAAAUCAACCGAGAUUCCCCCAGUAGCGGCGAGCGAACGGGGAGCAGCCCGGAGUCUGAAUCAGCUUGUGUGUUAGUGGAACGGUCUGGAAAGUCCGACGGUACAGGGUGAUAGUCCCGUACACGAAAACACACUUGCUGUGAACUCGAAGAGUAGGGCGGGACACGUGGUAUCCUGUCUGAAUAUGGGGGGACCAUCCUCCAAGGCUAAAUACUCCUGACUGACCGAUAGUGAACCAGUACCGUGAGGGAAAGGCGAAAAGAACCCCGGCGAGGGGAGUGAAAAAGAACCUGAAACCGUGUACGUACAAGCAGUGGGAGCCUCUUUAUGGGGUGACUGCGUACCUUUUGUAUAAUGGGUCAGCGACUUAUAUUCUGUAGCAAGGUUAACCGUAUAGGGGAGCCGAAGGGAAACCGAGUCUUAACUGGGCGUUAAGUUGCAGGGUAUAGACCCGAAACCCGGUGAUCUAGCCAUGGGCAGGUUGAAGGUUGGG